rnacentral:rRNA from 1 species
CCAAUAGCGUAUAUUAAAGUUGCUGCAGUUAAAAAGCUCGUAGUUGAAUUUCGGGAUUGGCAUACCGGUCGUGUCUUCGGACAUGUACUGGUAGUCGUCAAUCUCCACCUUCUAGUGAACUAUUAUGCCUUUCACUAGGUGUAGUAGGGAGCUAGGACUGUUACUUUGAAAAAAUUAGAGUGUUUAAAGCAGGCUUUAUGCUUGAAUAGAUUAGCAUGGAAUAACGAAAUAGGACGGCAUGAUUCUAUUUUGUUGGUUUCUAGGAUCACCGUAAUGAUUAAUAGGGAUAGUUGGGGGCAUUAGUAUUCAAUUGUCAGAGGUGAAAUUCUUGGAUUUAUUGAAGACUAACUACUGCGAAAGCAUUUGCCAAGGAUGUUUUCAUUAAUCAAGAACGAAAGUUAGGGGAUCGAAGACGAUCAGAUACCGUCGUAGUCUUAACCAUAAACUAUGCCGACUAGGAAUCAGACUCAGUUUAUUUUUUAAUGACGAGUUUGGCACCUUACG